rnacentral:rRNA from 1 species
AUGGCCACCUGCCUCUCUGAUAUUAUCAGUGACCAUUCCAUUGACUUUCUCGACCUUCAGGAAACCUUGAAGAAAAAUUUCUCUCCCAAAAAUCUUAGGAAGUUUGAUCCUUUUGACAACUUCCAUUGGGACUGGAUUCUUGCUGUUGGCAAAUCUAGUGGGGUUUUAUGUGGUGUUAGGAAAGAUUCUUUUGAAGUGAUUUCUUGUAUCAAAAAGUAUGUCCUCCAAAUGAAUCUUAAAGAUCUCAAGAACAAGUGCUCUUGGGGGCUUUUAGUUGUUUACGGAUCGGCUCAUAAGGACCAUAAAGAGGAGUUUCUCCUUGAACUUGCUUCCUUUUGUGGUAAUAUAGAUAUCCCAUGUAUUGUGGGAGGGGAUUUUAAUAUCCUAAGGCAAAGUGGAGAGAAAAACAAAAGCCUCCAACACUGCAGAUCCAUUGACCUAUUCAACUCUAUUAUCAAUACCCUGGGACUUAGGGAUAUAUAUACCAGUGGAGACAAGUAUACAUGGUCCAAUAAUCAAUCUCAUCCUACCCUUGAGAAAUUAGACCGCAUCCUCAUGUCAGAUGACUGGGAAAAUUUAUUCCCUCUGGUGAACGUUAGGAAAUUAGUUCGUGAACUAUCUGACCAUAACCCUCUACUUUUGUCCUCUAACAAUAAGAAAAAUGAGCCUCCUAAAUGCCGUGAAUUCCAUUUUGACCUUUUCUGGAUCAAAAAUAAGAAACAUAGAGAAGAAUUACGUGUUGAGAUCUCCCUUCUUGAAGAGCUUGAGGAAGACGAUCCUCUGUCUCCUGAGCUUUAUAGUAGGAAGUUGGACAUGGAGCUCGAGCUUCUUGAAUUACUAGUUGUCAAAGAGAUCUUCUGGCUCCAGCAAUCUCAUGAACGCUGGCUGCUAAAAGGGGACUGUAAUACUGAUUACUUUCACAAAAUUGCUAAUGGGCGUAACAUAAGAACACUAUCCUUUCCCUUAAAUGUGGGGAGGUGGGGAUUGAAGGGACGGACAACCUUAUUAAUCAUGCUACUACUUUCUAUAAGGAUCUCUUUGGUCCAGCUCCGGGCAAUAGAUUCCACCUUGAUCUAG